rnacentral:rRNA from 1 species
CGCCUCUUGCAAAAUUAACAAAUAAGAGGUCCCGCCUGCCCUGUGACUAUAUGUUUAACGGCCGCGGUAUUUUGACCGUGCGAAGGUAGCGCAAUCACUUGUCUUUUAAAUGAAGACCUGUAUGAAUGGCAUCACGAGGGCUUAACUGUCUCCCUCCCCCAGUCAAUGAAAUUGAUCUCCCCGUGCAGAAGCGGGGAUAAUAACAUAAGACGAGAAGACCCUAUGGAGCUUAAAACGCCAGAGCAGCCUACGUUAAGCACCCCUGAACAAAGGAAAAAACCAAGUAGAUCCUGUCCUAGUGUUUUUGGUUGGGGCGACCGCGGGGAAAAACCAAACCCCCAUGUGGAAUAGGCGUACUACACUCCUAAAUCCGAGAGCUCCCGCUCUAACAAACAGAACUUCUGACCAUCAAGAUCCGGCAAUGCCGAUCAACGGACCGAGUUACCCUAGGGAUAACAGCGCAAUCCUCUUAAAGAGCCCUUAUCGACAAGGGGGUUUACGACCUCGAUGUUGGAUCAGGACAUCCUAAUGGUGCAGCCGCUAUUAAG